rnacentral:ncRNA from 1 species
AAUUGAUCGGUGAGGCGAAGUAAGUAGUAUUAAAAACAGAUUUUCAGAGAGCGAUAGAUGGUGAGAUUAUCGCAAUUAUGCUUGAUAUGAAUGGGUCGCUGAGAUGUUGGGUGAAUUUAAAGUAGCCUAGCACGGAUGCUCACGUUAUAGAGCUAGGAUAUGUUUGUAUCUGAAAGAGGUGAGGUUUUAUUAUCUCAAAAUAGGUGGUACCGCGUGAUUUAUGCCCUAUGG